rnacentral:lncRNA from 12 species
AUGUGGGGGGUUCUUGCAUCUAAUUCCAGUGUGACAGCCCAGCAAUUCAAACAAGCUGUUCCUCUGGCGAGGAAGAUAAAAGGAUUUGUAAUUUCUGAUAUUAAAAGAGGCCUUUUGGGACGGCCCUCAGAGAAUCUCUUCCAUCUAGGCCUGCUCGCAGACAGCCGCUCCACUUUCUCCCCGUGUUCUUCUCCUUAUCCCCUGCAAUCUGAGUGCUCAAAACCUUCCUCCCUCCCUCCCAUCUCCCUGCUCCCAGAGCGGCUCCAUGGCUGGAAGCAGCCAGGGGAGCUCAUUUCCCCGCAGUCAGAGCCACGUGGAGCGAAUUAUCCUCGUCCCUGGCCCUUGCCAUGUCCCCACCUCGGGGCUGCCCGCGCUGGGACAGGGACAACCCGGGGCAGGGACAAACCCAGGACAGCGACGGCGGGACAGGGACAAGGGGGGACAGGGACAACCCGGGGCAGGGACAAACCCAGGACAGCGACGGCGGGACAGGGACAAGGGGGGACAGGGACAACCCGGGGCAGGGACAAACCCAGGACAGCGACGGCGGGACAGGGACAAGGGGGGACAGGGACAACCCGGGGCAGGGACAAACCCAGGACAGCGACGGCGGGACAGGGACAAGGGGGGACAGGGACAACCCGGGGCAGGGACAAACCCAGGACAGCGACGGCGGGACAGGGACAAGGGGGGACAGGGACAACCCGGGGCAGGGACAAACCCAGGACAGCGACGGCGGGACAGGGACAAGGGGGGACAGGGACAACCCGGGGCAGGGACAAACCCAGGACAGCGACGGCGGGACAGGGACAAGGGGGGACAGGGACAACCCGGGGCAGGGACAAACCCAGGACAGCGACGGCGGGACAGGGACAAGGGGGGACAGGGACAACCCGGGGCAGGGACAAACCCAGGACAGUGAUGGCGGGACAGGGACAAGGGGGGACAGGGACAACCCGGGGCAGGGACAAACCCAGGACAGCGACGGCGGGACAGGGACAAGGGGGGACAGGGACAACCCGGGGCAGGGACAAACCCAGGACAGCGACGGCGGGACAGGGACAAGGGGGGACAGGGACAACCCGGGGCAGGGACAAACCCAGGACAGCGACGGCGGGACAGGGACAAGGGGGGACAGGGACAACCCGGGGCAGGGACAAACCCAGGACAGCGACGGCGGGACAGGGACAAGGGGGGACAGGGACAACCCGGGGCAGGGACAAACCCAGGACAGCGACGGCGGGACAGGGACAAGGGGGGACAGGGACAACCCGGGGCAGGGACAAACCCAGGACAGCGACGGCGGGACAGGGACAAGGGGGGACAGGGACAACCCGGGGCAGGGACAAACCCAGGACAGCGACGGCGGGACAGGGACAAGGGGGGACAGGGACAACCCGGGGCAGGGACAAACCCAGGACAGCGACGGCGGGACAGGGACAAGGGGGGACAGGGACAACCCGGGGCAGGGACAAACCCAGGACAGCGACGGCGGGACAGGGACAAGGGGGGACAGGGACAACCCGGGGCAGGGACAAACCCAGGACAGCGACGGCGGGACAGGGACAAGGGGGGACAGGGACAACCCGGGGCAGGGACAAACCCAGGACAGCGACGGCGGGACAGGGACAAGGGGGGACAGGGACAACCCGGGGCAGGGACAAACCCAGGACAGCGACGGCGGGACAGGGACAAGGGGGGACAGGGACAACCCGGGGCAGGGACAAACCCAGGACAGUGAUGGCGGGACAGGGACAAGGGGGGACAGGGACAACCCGGGACAGGGACAAACCCAGGGCAGGGACAAACCCAGGGCAGCGACGGCGGGACAGGGACCAGGGGGGACAGGGACAAAGCCAGGGCAGGGACAAACCCAGGGCAGUGAUGGUGGGACAGGGAGGGAGGCUCUGCCCUGGGGACAGCCGGGCGCAUCCGUGCUGCCACCCCUGGGGCUGGGCAGGCCUGGGAGGGCCCCACAGCAAAGCCAAGCUCUGCUGGGUGUUCUGGGGUCCCCCUCGCUGCCAGGCUGGGGCACAGCCCCAGCCCCUGCCCCUGCUCAGCUGCCCCAGCGCCUGUUUCACGAUUGAACUAUCAAAACUUGGGCUUGUUCCCCGCCAAAGCCUCUUCUGUGGCUCUGCUGGUGACUCAGCGUGACACCAGGGCACUGAAAAUAUGGAAGAGGGAAAGGGAAGGAGCCAGAGGUUGGUUCCCAGUGUGUCCCAGUGGGCAGCUGGGAUGGGGGGUGGCACUGCGAGGUCGAGCUCCCCAAUAGUGCCCUCGAGUGUGGGAAGCACCCCUGGGACUCCCACACAGGGCAGGGCAAGCUCAGGGUGUGGAUAAUGAGGAGGGAGAUGAAAGAUCCUCAGCAAACUGUGCCUCGUCCUGAGUGUUUGCCAGAGAGGGUGGGGGACGAGGGACCCUGGGGGUUCAUCCCUGGGGUGGGAGCUGAGGGGGGACAGGCAGAGCCCCCAGGCCCUCUGAGCCCCUCGUGCCAAAAAGCAGCGAGGCCCAGAUGGGAGGCCCAGGGAUCUGACACCUCUGGGGCUCCCAGCUCUGAUUUGUUUUCCAUGGGUGUUCCAGGAAACAUGGGAGGCAGCGGAGCAUGGCAGCGUGUCAGGGGUGCAGCAAGUGUUGGGGUGCAGCUGUUGGGGGCUGGGCAGCUGUUUGGGGCUGUGCAGCUGUUUGGGGCCGUGCAGCUGUUUGGGGGUUGUGCAGCUGUCCUGGGGCCACCCCCCCCCCCCCCCCCCCCCCCCCCCCCCCCCCCCCCCCCCCCCCCCCCC